UACGAAGGGGGCUAGCGUUGUUCGGAAUUACUGGGCGUAAAGCGCGCGUAGGCGGUUUUGCAAGCCAGAGGUGAAAUGCCUGAGCUCAACUCAGGAAUGGCCUUUGGGACUGCGAGGCUUUGAGGACUGGAGAGGUGAGUGGAAUUCCCAGUGUAGAGGUGAAAUUCGUAGAUAUCGGGAGGAACACCAGUGGCGAAGGCGGCUAUCUGGACGCAUACCGACGCUGAAGUUCGAAAGCGUGGGGAGCAAACAGG
rnacentral:rRNA from 1 species